AACAAGGUUUCCGUAGGUGAACCUGCGGAAGGAUCAUUACUGAUUUGCUUAAUUGCACCACAUGUGUUUUUCUUUGAAACAAACUUGCUUUGGCGGUGGGCCCAGCCUGCCGCCAGAGGUCUAAACUUACAACCAAUUUUUUAUCAACUUGUCACACCAGAUUAUUACUAAUAGUCAAAACUUUCAACAACGGAUCUCUUGGUUCUCGCAUCGAUGAAGAACGCAGCGAAAUGCGAUACGUAAUAUGAAUUGCAGAUAUUCGUGAAUCAUCGAAUCUUUGAACGCACAUUGCGCCCUCUGGUAUUCCGGAGGGCAUGCCUGUUUGAGCGUCGUUUCUCCCUCAAACCGCUGGGUUUGGUGUUGAGCAAUACGACUUGGGUUUGCUUGAAAGACGGUAGUGGUAAGGCGGGAUCGCUUUGACAAUGGCUUAGGUCUAACCAAAAACAUUGCUUGCGGCGGUAACGUCCACCACGUAUAUCUUCAAACUUUGACCUCAAAUCAGGUAGGACUACCCGCUGAACUUAAGCAUAUCAAUAAGC
rnacentral:rRNA from 1 species